AGUGAACGCUGGCGGUAGGCCUAACACAUGCAAGUCGAACGGCAGCACAGUAAGAGCUUGCUCUUACGGGUGGCGAGUGGCGGACGGUUGAGGAAUACAUCGGAAUCUACUUUUUCGUGGGGGAUAACGUAGGGAAACUUACGCUAAUACCGCAUACGACCUACGGGUGAAAGCAGGGGAUCUUCGGACCUUGCGCGAUUGAAUGAGCCGAUGUCGGAUUAGCUAGUUGGCGGGGUAAAGGCCCACCAAGGCGACGAUCCGUAGCUGGUCUGAGAGGAUGAUCAGCCACACUGGAACUGAGACACGGUCCAGACUCCUACGGGAGGCAGCAGUGGGGAAUAUUGGACAAUGGGCGCAAGCCUGAUCCAGCCAUACCGCGUGGGUGAAGAAGGCCUUCGGGUUGUGAAGCCCUUUUGUUGGGAAAGAAAAGCAGCAGGUUAAUACCCCGCUGUUCUGACGGUACCCAAAGAAUAAGCACCGGCUAACUUCGUG
rnacentral:rRNA from 1 species